AGUAAUGUCUGGGAAACUGCCUGAUGGAGGGGGAUAACUGCUGGAAACGGUAGCUAAUACCGCAUAACGUCGCAAGACCAAAGAGGGGGACCUUCGGGCCUCUUGCCAUCGGAUGUGCCCAGAUGGGAUUAGCUAGUAGGUGGGGUAACGGCUCACCUAGGCGACGAUCCCUAGCUGGUCUGAGAGGAUGGCCAGCCACACUGGAACUGAGACACAGUCCAG
rnacentral:rRNA from 1 species